rnacentral:rRNA from 1 species
GAUGAACGCUGGCGGCGUGCCUAAUACAUGCAAGUCGAACGAAUAUACCCUGAGCGUUGUCUGCUCCCGUUUGCGACGGGCGGGUGAGUAAGGAGUAGAUAGCCUUCGUCUAUGUCCUGGAUAAAGGCGGAUAACAGUUGCUAAUACUUGCUAAUACCUCGUACCGGUUUAUGCAGUAGUGCAUCAGAGUUUUCGUGUCUCUCUGCGGUGGCUCCGCGUUGGAUUAGCUAGUUGGUAAGGUAACGGCUUACCAAGGCAACGAUGCGUAGCCGAGCUGAGAGGGUGAUCGGCCACACUGGAACUGAGACACGGCCCAGACUCCUACGGGAGGCAGCAGUAGGGAAUCUUCGGCAAUGGGCGAAAGCCUGACCGAGCAACGCCGCGUGAGUGAAGAAGGUCUUCGGAUCGUAAAACUCUGUUGUUAGGGAAGAACAAGAGCGUUAGUAACUAAGCGUGUCCUGACGGUACCUAAUCAGAAAGCCACGGCUAACUACGUG